GAUGAACGCUGGCGGCGUGCCUAAUACAUGCAAGUCGAGCGAACGGACGAGAAGCUUGCUUCUCUGAUGUUAGCGGCGGACGGGUGAGUAACACGUGGAUAACCUACCUAUAAGACUGGGAUAACUUCGGGAAACCGGAGCUAAUACCGGAUAAUAUUUUGAACCGCAUGGUUCAAAAGUGAAAGACGGUCUUGCUGUCACUUAUAGAUGGAUCCGCGCUGCAUUAGCUAGUUGGUAAGGUAACGGCUUACCAAGGCAACGAUGCAUAGCCGACCUGAGAGGGUGAUCGGCCACACUGGAACUGAGACACGGUCCAGACUCCUACGGGAGGCAGCAGUAGGGGAUCUUCCGCAAUGGGCGAAAGCCUGACGGAGCAACGCCGCGUGAGUGAUGAAGGUCUUCGGAUCGUAAAACUCUGUUAUUGGGGAAGAACAUAUGUGUAAGUAACUGUGCACAUCUUGACGGUACCUAAUCAGAAAGCCACGGCUAACUACGUG
rnacentral:rRNA from 1 species